rnacentral:rRNA from 1 species
UACGGAGGAUGCGAGCGUUAUCCGGAUUUAUUGGGUUUAAAGGGUGCGUAGGCGGCUUUUUAAGUCAGCGGUGAAAUUUUGCAGCUUAACUGUAACAGUGCCGUUGAUACUGUUUGGCUAGGAUUUGGUUGUAGUGUGCGGAAUGUGUGGUGUAGCGGUGAAAUGCUUAGAUAUCACACAGAACACCGAUUGCGAAGGCAGCACACUAAGUCAUUAUUGACGCUGAGGCACGAAAGCGUGGGUAGCAAACAGGAUUAGA